AACGAACGCUGGCGGCGCGCCUAAUACAUGCAAGUCGAGCGAGAAGACGUAGCAAUACGUUUGUAAAGCGGCGAACGGGUGAGGAAUACAUGGGUAACCUACCCUCGAGUGGGGAAUAACUAGCCGAAAGGUUAGCUAAUACCGCGUACGCUCCUUGGACUUCGGUUCAGGGAGGAAAGCGAUACCGUGGGUAUCGCGCUCAUGGAUGGGCUCAUGUCCUAUCAGCUUGNGGUGAGGUAACGGCUCACCAAGGCUUCGACGGGUAGCUGGUCUGAGAGGACGAUCAGCCACACUGGCACUGCGACACGGGCCAGACUCCUACGGGAGGCAGCAGUAA
rnacentral:rRNA from 1 species